GAAGAAAUUCUAAAUUGUUCCCCUGCCAGUACAUAGCCUCUCCACAACAAGUCCUAUGCGAUGCCUCCACGUGGAAGCAGACGGAUACUGGGUAUCAUUUUGUCCCAGGCUAAGUUCGCAAGGGCGCACGGGAAGAUGAGUCUCAAAAGCAUUGGCAGGCGGUUAUGCUGGCAUUGAUCCUGUUUCCAAAAGCAGAUCAACAUGAUUCCUCAAGACUCCAAAGAGAUCAACUAUGGGACCUGAAAAUAAAGGCAGACUGCCAUCAAUUUCAUGUUUCUUUGAUAGCAGACAAAUAUGCUUCAACAAUAGUGCAGAGAGUAAUUUAAGGUUUGGACUGCAAGUGAUGGACACACUAAAUAACUCAACUCAAAGAAUUCAAUGGAUAGUGCUGAGUACAUUAUUAUAUAUCUACAAAGUGAUGGGCACACUAAAUAGCUUAACUGACAGAAUUCAAUGGACCGUGCUGAGAACAUUGUUAUAUAUCUACAAAGUGAUGGACACACUAAAUAGCUUAACUGACAGAAUUCAAUGGACCGUGCUGAGUACAUUGUUAUCUACAAAGUGAUGGACACACUAAAUAGCUUAACUCACAGAAUCCAGUGGACAGAGUUGAGUAUGUACUAAUAUCUACAAAGUGAUGGACACAGUAAACAGCUUUAUUCUCAGGAUUCAGUGUACCAUGCUGAGUACAUAACUCAUUAAGGAUAACUCAUGAUCAUAUGACAUCCACAGCAGAUCACUCAAAGUUGUGAUACUACAUUAUUGUACAACUUUUCAUAUACUACGUUAUUUUUUCUGAAUGUUUUUUUUUGUAUCUGUAUAUUAUAUUUUUUAAUUUAAAAAAGUUAAAGAUUGGAUUUUUAAGCAAAAAUAUCAAGAGAGGUAAAUCAGUGCUUGUCUGAAUAUCUAAGCUUAAGAGAAAGGGAGGUAAUUUUUUUUAUUGUGAAUCCUUGUCCAGAGCAUAUGCUUUCUCCCCUUGGUCCAAUGUGGCUAAUACUUCUCUCACAGAGUGCCACUGGUCAAUGGAUGUGUAGUGACCUUGAACAAAGUUUCUAGGCCAAGAGUCAAGGUUAAAACCCCUUUCAGCUACUUUACAUUUUUAUGUUCAUUGCUGAAAGUGGGACCCUUUGAGAUGGCCACCAUCUCAAUGAUAUCUAAUUUUAGUUUGAAAAUUGCUAGAAAAGAUAAAGUGAUCUCAUUGUAACAUUAUUAUUUUUUAGUGUUUUAGAUUAUAAAUAAAUAUAACAAUAUGCAAAA